rnacentral:lncRNA from 12 species
AUGGGUUGGAGAAAAGCGAGGACGCUUGAGCGCUGCCUUCAGAGAUUUCUGCAGAACCUCCUCCUGGGAUAUAGAUCCCCUGAACACACACGUCACAACCACCCCUCUGGGUGUCCAAGUCAGACAUCACGGAGUCAUCCUGCUGCAAGGAGGAAUUGGUGCUUCCAGGGAAAACUGUGCAUUGUCUAGAGGACACAGCUCUGAGUACUCCGACUGCAUGCGGCCUGCUGUACAAGCCUGUACAUCGUACGUAACAGAGGCAGAUAAUUCUUAGCUGUAGACGUGCAGAUCCCGCUCUAUCUUGUAGAGGUCGGCUGAAUUCUCUUCACUGGGGAAGAAGCUAGUUUUGCUACCAUUUGGGCAUUCAUUUCAAUAUUCCUCAUCUAUAAAUGUGUCUAUUUUUCAAUUUCUCCCUGGAACCACUUAUAACAUCUGCCUGGCUUCUUCUUUACGAGUAAAAUAAAAUCUUUAACAUGUGUUCA